rnacentral:rRNA from 1 species
AAUGCAGGAAACUGUGACGGAGCGACGCCGCGUGCCAGAAGAAGGCCUUCGGGUUGUAAAUGGCUUUUAUCAGGGAAAAACUUGCGAUGGUACCUGAUGAAUAAGAGGUUGCUAACUACGUGCCAGCAGCAGCGGUAAUACGUAGACCUCAAGCGUUAUCCGGAUUUAUUGGGCGUAAAGCGCUAAAAGGCGGUUUAGAAAGUUGGAUAUGAAAGACCGGGGCUCAACCUCGGAAACAUGUUCAAAACUUCUAGACUAGAGGGUGGAAGAGGCGAGCGGAAUGGCUGGUGUAGCAGUAAAAUGCGUUAAUAUCAGCUAGAACACCAAUUGCGAAGGCAGCUCGCUGGGACACUUCUGACGCUAAUAGCGAAAGCGUGGGUAGCGAAUGGGAUU